rnacentral:rRNA from 1 species
GAUGAACGCUGGCGGCGUGCCUAAUACAUGCAAGUCGAGCGAACGGACGAGAAGCUUGCUUCUCUGAUGUUAGCGGCGGACGGGUGAGUAACACGUGGAUAACCUGCCUAUAAGACUGGGAUAACUUCGGGAAACCGGAGCUAAUACCGGAUAAUAUUUUGAACCGCAUGGUUCAAAAGUGAAAGACGGUCUUGCUGUCACUUAGAGGUGGAUCCGCGCUGCAUUAGCUAGUUGGUAAGGUAACGGCUUACCAAGGCAACGAUGCAUAGCCGACCUGAGAGGGUGAUCGGCCACACUGGAACUGAGACACGGUCCAGACUCCUACGGGAGGCAGCAGUAGGGAAUCUUCCGCAAUGGGCGAAAGCCUGACGGAGCAACGCCGCGUGAGUGAUGAAGGUCUUCGGAUCGUAAAACUCUGUUAUUAGGGAAGAACAUAUGUGUAAGUAACUGUGCACAUCUUGACGGUACCUAAUCAGAAAGCCACGGCUAACUACGUG